AAUUACGGGAAAAUUGUUCAUCUCUUUUUUUUUCUUGUAAAAAUCGGACCAAGAAAAGCGUAAGCAGAGGGCACCUACCAAAGUCAGUCUCGAUACUUUUAUAAUGUAAUACUCGCUUUCAUUAUAAUUUCACAGCUUUCCCUCACACGGACUACGCCGAUUCUUCAACCAAGACUCAGAUCUAACAUCCACGUGCCCACUGAGUCCACAGUGCUAGCCAGUUGGUGCGGGUGCGCAAAUUGGGCUUUGGUUUGAAUUUGACUGAAAUGAACAAUGCUUCGACUUUGUUUCAUUAUAUUCCUUCGACGUUAUAAUGAAGGACACAGCCAGCAAUAGCAAUCAUUUAAACAACAAUACGAUGCGCCCAGACUACAGGGCUGUGGCAAGAGCGAUGGCGAUGGCAAUGACGACAAUUACAGGACUCGCGGCUGUGGUGGAUGGUCGUCAUCGGCAUCUUAGCAUCAUCAUCCUUCUGCAGCGGGCUCCUUCCCCGGCUGUAGCUCGGUGCUGCCACUUCAGUGGGCAAUUAGCCAGUCGACCGGAAAAGGAAAAGGGGAGCUCAAAGUCCCCCUUCAUCAUCAGCACACCAUCACAUGGCAGACGUACUGGCAGAUUUAUAUUGCAAACGACCGCCCCAUUUAGCGUUUAAGCAUGGCAACGUUCCGAGGACGAGAGAAAAAGAAAAAAAAAAAUUAUAAAGCAUUCGACUUCGGCUUAGAUUUAGAGUUGUUUCUAGCCUGCCAGACCAGUUGUCACCGAAAGCAUUUCUACAUCUGGAUCUGGAUGCGGCACGGAUGACAACUAACCUCAUAUAUCCACUAGUCGACAGUUUUUGCUUGGCAAAACACAAAUUUGUGUGGACAGUCCGUUUUAUGUCGAAUCCAGUUGAUUGCACAACACAAAUAUAAAUUCAUAAUUGAGAUAUGUUUCUGCAUACACAGACUACACAAUCCAUGUGCGAUGAAGUCAGAAGAUACGCUUUCAA